CGGUUCUGCGGCGUUGGGUCCGCCUGCCGCUCCCUCUCACCGCUCGCAGCCGGGCGGAGGCCGGCGCCCCCCGCGACGUCACGCGUGGAGCAGCGAAGGGGCGGGGUCCGUGCACCCCCCACCCUAUCACCACCCACGCAGUGGGGAUUCGCAUGCGCAGUGUCUACGCGGGCAGCCGCCCGGCCCUUCCCAGACUGGGUGGGGGCGUACCAAGAAGGAAGCCAAGGAAGGGGCAACGGAGAAGAAACUACUCCGCAAUCGGUGAGCCAAAGGCAGAGAGGCAGAGGAGCUGAUUAUAGUAGGGACGGUGUUAGAACUGAAAGCCUCACUCCGGAGACACUGGGGCAUUUCAACGGGAAUCGCGUCGCAGGCAUUUUUCUGUUGGCUCGUCCCCCUCCCGCGCCAGUCGCACAGCCCAGCCGCGCCCAGGUUCCGGACACAGAGAGAGGCAGAGACACAGGCAGAGGGAGGAGAAGCAGGCUCCUGCAUGGAACUCUGGACAACGGACAACAUCCCGACCCAAAGGCAGACACUCAACUGCUGAGCCACCCAGACAGAGAGAGAAAGGCAGACACACAGGCAGAAGGAGGAGCAGGCUCCCCACAAGAAACC